rnacentral:tRNA from 1 species
CGGUGUAGUCGGACUGACAGCCACGUUCGGGACGUGGAGGCCGGAGGUUCAAAUCCUCUCACCCCGA